AUCUGCAGCGGGGCUGAUUUUUCCAUCUUCAGUGCACCAAAGUGUGCCUUUGGAGACAGAGAAGGACACCCUGGAAGUGAUGGCCUAACAUGGAGUGGAAAGCACCUGAGCAGAUUUAAGUUGGAAUCUUCCGCCCUUGCCCUGACUAGCUGUGUGACUUUGGGGAGGUAACUUCACCUCUCUGAUCCCCUGUUGUGUUAGGGAAAUGGAGCUAUCUCCACAGAGGUACCAGACAUAGGCAUGAAGAAACCCUCUUGGAAGUGGACCUUCCAGCCCCAGCUGGUCCAGCCCCCAGUCAUUCAGUUCAGCUCCAGCCACUGGAGUUCUUCCAUCCCCAGACACUGUGGGGCAAGCCAUCCCGUCUAGGCCCUGUCUGCCUUCCUGACCCACAGGAUUUGCUUGGCAGACUUGGCCCUAAGCGCACCUACUGUGUGCCAGGGCUGGGGCCUUCUGGCUUCAUUUCCACCAGACAGCCCCGGAAGCUCUUCUGACUUCUACCAAACCAGAGGUCUUAAAAGGAGAGGACAUGCAACCAGCGGAGUGUGAGAUGAUUCCUGCAAUUCUACUCCUAGUUUUAUGUCCAAAAAAACUGAAAAUAGGUACUCUGGUGAGUACAUGCACAGGCAUGCUCAUGUAAGUGCUGUUCACAAUAGCCUAAAGAUGGAAUCAGCCCAAAUGUCCAUCAGUGAACAAACAGACAAACUGUGGGAUGCACAUACAAUGGAACAUUAUUCAGUCACAAAAGGAAUGAAGUACUGAUACACGCUGCCAUACGGAUGAAUCUUGAAAACAGUACGCUAAGCCAAAGAAGCCAGACAGAAGAGGUAAUAUAUUGUAUGAUUCCAUUUAUAUGAAAUAUCCAGAGAAGAGAAAGCCUUAGCAAUAGGAUGCAUAUGUGUGGCUGUCAGGGGCUGGGUGGAGAUGGGAUGGGGAGGAACUGUUUAAUGGAUAAACAGUUUUACUUUGGAAUGAUGGAAAAAUUUUGGAACUAGAAAUGGUGGUUACACAACAUUCUGAAUGCAGUAAAUGCCACUGAAUUGUCCAUAUUAAAACAGUUACCG